UACUCUCUCAGAUACUUUCAGACGCCCAAAACAUCAGUAUAAGACUGGCAAACAAGACACCGGACCUACAGGACAUAGAAGUCAGGUCCAGUAUCCUCUGGCAUUUCUUAAGCAGUAGCUCAAUAUUUUCUACCACUUUGAUAAAUCAUUCAACAGGAAAAGGCCCUAGUGCAUGGGGAAGUAUGUGGCAGAGAUGCGGAGUCAAUGGGGAUCUAGCUAUGCCUCAUCUAGCUCUCCAGCCAGUGACUUCAGCCGAAGCAGAGAGAGAACUGGUCUACAGCAGAUAAGCCACGAGCUGAGAAUGUCACCACCUACCAGCUUGCAACCAAGUCUGAGCUUCGGGCAACAUUUCUACAUACUGCCCAUGAAUUCAGAGGAUUAAAGCUUCAGAGUGGCCCUUUAGUGAAAACCUGCCGGGGCUACCUCAGAAGGAGACACCUACGUCCUAUCAAGUGAAUCCUCCUCCAAGUGUCAUUCUUCAUUCUAUCCAACACAGCAUAUGAUAUUGGAAGAAUAAGAUAAAACACUUUAAAGCUAAAUAGAAUUAAGAUACUCUACCCCUCAAGGAAGAUCAUGCUUAGAAGAUUUUAAAGUCAAUAUCUAAAUUCCAGACUUUCAGAUAACAUGAAUGCUUACAUUUUGUCUCAGGUGUUUGCAAACUAAUUAAGUUUGUUGCUUCACGAAUGAAGACAAUGGCUUCCUAUGCAGACUAAAAAGACCUGCUGUUCUACUGCAAAGGCUUUUUAUUCCUGUUUUCUAUAUUUACUGACAGUAUUAUUGAUGUAUAUGACAAUUCUAAUUAAAAAAAAAAGAGAGAGAGAGAAAGAGAGAGAGAGAGAGAAAGUAGUAGAUGGUCUUUUGUUCUAAUACCAGGUCAUAACCUAUGAGAACUGAGCUACUGAUUCAGGCAAAGACAUUCUCUCUGCUGGCCACUUAUUUCAUGCGUGUCAUUGCAGUGCUAGUAAUCCAGCAGGUAUAUGAGAAAAGGCACGUCUUAACAUUUAAUAUGUUACAGCUAUAGCAGUGGAAUAGUUGAUAAAUGCAACUCCUAUGCAUAGAGUUUGAGGCCAUCUAAAGUAUCUAAAUAAAGCUUCUGCCUAGCACAGGCCAUGGAAUUACACUCACUAAUUCUUGUGAUGGUCCAGGCAGUUUCUGGUUGACCUGAAGCAUGUCUCUUAGAAAGACUCAAAGGCUUUUCCUGGGUCAGAGGUUUCAAGUGAUGGAGAAUGCACCAUAUCCCUAGGCAAGUUGUCCUAACAGCUAAUUACCUUUGCUGUUAAACUUUUUACAGGGUAUUUCUACUUUGAUUUUGUUGAGCUUAAACUUUCCGGCAUUGAAUUGUAUCAUCCUUUUGUCUGGCAGAUUAAAGAGCCUGGUACUUUUAGAAGUUGUCUCUCUGUGUAGAUACUUUUAAAACUGAUCAAGUCACCUCUUAACCUCCUUUUUUCAUAUUAUUCUGAUAGUACUAAAAGAAAAGAAAAAAAGAAAGAGGAAAGGGGGUCACGUUUUGCAACUAGGUGCAUUUGGACAGCUUCUGUUGAAGAAAAUCAGUGCCACAAUUGUGCACACCUGUAGAAGAAACAUGCCCAUUAGUGAUUUGCAGGGUAUGGUUUUCAGAAAAUUCUGUGAACAUCAGAUGAGCAUCCUACUGUUUUUGUUGAUGCCAGCUAAGUAGACACCACAUGCCCUCUGCUGGGGGUAGCAUUACUGAUGGCUGAAUCAAAUGCAGAGCAGUCUUCCUAGCCAAAGGAAAGAAGCAAUCUGCAUUGAUUUUUAAAGAUAAAGAACUAACAGUGGGAUUAAUACUGUCCAUUUUCUCUCCUAUCAUAAAGGCCAAUUUUAGCACCAC